AACCAUUUACCUUGUCAAAGUCCUCCGGGACCCUGAGACAAAAGCCCUGAGGCUACAGUGGGGGCAGUAGGCACAGCCUGACAUUCUCUCCUUCUCUAAAUCUGGCCUUGAGCUGUGCCCCUUGACUGAAAGGGUGAGCCUCGGACAAAGCAUAGUGUGUAGGACCCAGGCAACACGGGCUGGUCUCAAGUACAGCAUUCAGCUGCAGUGCAGUCCGGGGAGGGGCUCUGAGGUCUCUUUGUCUUAGGGGUCACAUGGUGCGGUUGCUUGGCUGUCCAAACAAGCAUGCAAAGACUCUGUGACCCUGGAGGUGGAAAAUACCUGCUCGGGCCAAUCAGCGCAAGGAUUAAGUGUAAGGCCAAAGAGGACAGUCCUGGACAUCACAGGAGGUGUGGCAGCCUCCCUGACCGAUACCCACCAGAUCACAGACGUUCUACCCUUCCUACACGUGACCAUCAAAACGGUGUGCAGACACUGUCACCUGUCCCCUGGUGCAGAUACGAAGCGUCCUGUUCGGAAAUGCUCAUCUAACCCCGCCUCCAGGCCAGACCCUUGCCCAUCUGAAGUUGGAGUGGUACCCCGUCCCGGAAGCUGAUAGAUUUCCCUCAGGCGAGGAAAGGGAUUGGAUUCUACUUGGUCCCGCAAUACUCCGUCCUGAUUUGGGGCUCAGUAAGAGAAGGUGAGGCUAUUUCAAGUGCUCUGGAUGACACAUUGAAGAAUAGCUAGCCAAGGGUAUCCUUGAGGCCAGGGGUGGUCAUCUCCAUGCAAGGAUAGCAGCUGAGGCAGGAGCAUGGACUGGAAGGACACGACAACAGAGAGAAGCCCUAUGGGCAGCUGCUUACUGCCUAAGUGGCCUGAGACUUGUUGCCCUUCACACCUGUAAAACGGGAAUAAUCACUCCCCCACCCCACCCAGAGGACUCCGGUGGGUUUGUGUAAAGUCCGAAGUACCUGACACAUUCAGUAAAUGGUCUCUGUGACAGUGAUGGCUAGACUCAGCCCUAAGGAGGCAAGAGGUCACUGGGCUGUGCCAGGGAGGCUGAUGUGAGCAGCCUGCAAGCCGCUGGGAAUUCUGGGACUGUGCUACUGCAGCGCCCCAGCAGCCUUCACUAAAACAACAGCCCGCACGGAGUAGGUCUUGAGCUAGCCCAUGUGGGGUUAACAGUGCCUCCUCCUGGAGAGUCUAUGGAGUGUGGGUUGCAGAGGCUGGGCUUUAUGGGAUUGCCACGAGGCACCUCCAUCAGCGGGUUUGACAGAACCUUCCAGGCGAAAAACACGUUGUGAAGAUGAACUGCGGGUUCUCUCUUGGCCAGAAAAGCCGCUUUCCCGCACCUUGCCAUCGCCUGCCUUUCUUGGUCCAGCCAGGUUCAUCCUUCUGUCUCUCUGACUUAAAUCUAGUAUCUUCCUCUGGGGAAACAAAAGCGGCUGAGCUAGUGGUGACUGGACACCCACCCACCUUUCAGGUUUUGAGGAGGCGGGCCCUGUGCCUGUGAACAUGCUCAGUCAGCCCUCUUCUUCUUCUCCAAGGAGCCAGCACUUUCUCUCAGAAAGGAUUUACUGAGCUUGCCAUGGGCAGAGGUAGGCAAGCACACCGGGUACACAGAGAAGCCCGGAGCCAGCUGACUCUCCCUGGGUGGCUCUACUGUGGUUCACUAGGACAGAAUGACCAUUGACUUCCUUGUCCCUUUUCUUGUCCCUAGCAUUUCUGCAGAGGGCAGGGGUUAUCUAUCAACCUGUGUGUGUGAGAGAUGCCCAGAUAGAAAGUCACCCUGAAUCAUCCUCUUGAAAGACAGGAAACUAUCCUGGCACUGGGAACUAAACAUUAUCACGAAGGCAGGCCCAAAAGUGAUUAAAUGGAUUUUCCUGGUGCCAGGAUGACCUGUGUGUCUUUAUCUAGGGGUUGGAAGCUGACCUCCAACACUAGCCCCUGCCUGUCAUGAAGCACAGGUUUGCCACACUGAAGGAAAGAGCUGCAGAUCAUGGGUGCUCCAGUGACCCCGCCCAUCCCCUACUAGGUCUGUAGCAUCUCCCACUGGGGCCCUAGGGUGUAUCCCUGGAGGCCUCACUCAUCCUCUGGGUGCCUUGUCUGUGCAUGAAUGAAAGGCUAGUCAGGAAGCUGCGGGCAAGCCACAGGCACCGUCGAGGGCCAGGGCACAGACUGUCCAGAUGGCCAAUGGCUUGGCCGCUACACUAACAUCCAUCAAGAGAGUCUCAUGGCUCUCUUCCAGGUGACAGACUGGAUUCUAUCCCAGCCUGCCGAUGGCCUCAAGGAAUUUAUGUCACAGUUAGCUGGGAGCUUCACUCACACCUCUGUAAGGACAACUUUGUGUUCCGGAGUGUGUGUAGGGGGAGUGUGUGUCACUCUUUUUUUCAGACUAAAUAUAAUAAACAAAACUGAUUUGAAUUCAUUUCUGCCCGUAAACUAACAGAGAUACAUUCUAGUAUAUUAUUAUGAAAUGUUGGGGGAUAU
rnacentral:sRNA from 1 species